rnacentral:tRNA from 1 species
GUGGGUAUAGCUCAGUGGUAGAGUGCAUGCAUGAGGUCCUGGGUUCAAUCCCCAGUACCUCCA